UACAAAAAGCAAUCAGUUGCUUUAGUCCCUAAGGAAAUUUCCAAGUUAGUGCAGAGGUUUUUUCCCUUUUUUAAUCCAUCAUUAUUUCCACACAAGCCACCCUCUAUGGCCAUUGCAAAUCGGGGCUUUUUACUGAUGCAGAGGAUGAAUUGUUGGCACUGGGGAUGAUGGAAUAUAAUUCAGACUGGAAGGCAAUUCAGCAACGCUUUCUUCCUUGCAAAACUAAACAUCAGAUAUUUGUUAGGCAGAAAAAUCGUUGCUCAUCUAAAGCACCA